UACGAAGGGUGCUAGCGUUGUUCGGAAUUACUGGGCGUAAAGCGCGCGCAGGCGGUCUUCCAAGUCAGUGGUGAAAGCCCGGAGCUCAACUCCGGAACUGCCAUUGAAACUGUUGGACUUGAGUACGAGAGAGGUGAGUGGAAUUCCCAGUGUAGCGGUGAAAUGCGUAGAUAUCGGAAGGAACACCUGUGGCGAAAGCGGCUCACUGGACCAUAACUGACGCUGAGGCGCGAAAGCUAGGGGAGCAAACAGG
rnacentral:rRNA from 1 species